rnacentral:rRNA from 1 species
GACGAACGCUGGCGGCGUGCCUAAUACAUGCAAGUUGAGCGCUGAAGGUUGGUACUUGUACCAACUGGAUGAGCAGCGAACGGGUGAGUAACGCGUGGGGAAUCUGCCUUUGAGCGGGGGACAACAUUUGGAAACGAAUGCUAAUACCGCAUAAAAACUUUAAACACAAGUUUUAAGUUUGAAAGAUGCAAUUGCAUCACUCAAAGAUGAUCCCGCGUUGUAUUAGCUAGUUGGUGAGGUAAAGGCUCACCAAGGCGAUGAUACAUAGCCGACCUGAGAGGGUGAUCGGCCACAUUGGGACUGAGACACGGCCCAAACUCCUACGGGAGGCAGCAGUAGGGAAUCUUCGGCAAUGGACGAAAGUCUGACCGAGCAACGCCGCGUGAGUGAAGAAGGUUUUCGGAUCGUAAAACUCUGUUGGUAGAGAAGAACGUUGGUGAGAGUGGAAAGCCCAUCAAGUGACGGUAACUACCCAGAAGGGGACGGCUAACUACGUG